rnacentral:lncRNA from 1 species
AAACACAAGAUGGGAAGAUGGGGGGCGUGAAGGAUGAAGACCUAGGGCAGAGCCUGAGUUGUCUAGGGGAGCAAAAAUCUGCCCCCAGGACUGUCUGAGUCCACACUGGCUGCUCGGCUCAUGGUGCAGGUGUGUGGGAGCCCUCCUCCACAUGGUCUCCACAGCAACCCGCCACUCUAAUCUGCUGAAUAUGAAAAGAAGAAACAGAAAGAGAAAAGCCAUCCACCCCCUUCUGCUCCAUCCAUGAGUCCAAAAGAAGGAUAUCGUCUCCAAGCAUUCCUGAUAAUCCCCCAGCCAUUGCCCUGGCAACAGUCACAGGGAGCUGGCAUGGCCUGUGGAGAAAGCAAUCCCUGUCUCUAGCUCGGGCGGCUUCCUCCUCCUCCUCUUCUCUCACCACGGAUCUCCUAUUAGCCCCUAACAAUUGUGCACCCCACUUUUGGCCCACUGCCUCAUGCCCUCCAGCCUGCCAGCGGAUCACUGACACAGAGAAUACAGAAAUCCAUAUACUUUUCUCCUAAUGGUACUGAAAUGAUACUUUCAUGCAUGCAUAGAUGCUUCUAAGUAUGUAUAGAUGUGAUUGUGUGUGUGUGUGUGUGCUUGUGUAUAGAUUUGAAAGACUCUUCACCUCUAGUUCCCCUGCAGAUGAACUGUGUUUACAUGCUGAAUGAAGAAGUGGAGACUAUUUCUUAUCAAAGCUAAGAGUUUGGAAAAGCCACCGCUUACAACUCCCGUUCUCUCAGCUGAGCUGGCUGAGGAGGUUUGCAGAGCCCUUUGCUCUGAGCCUCAUACCCAGCAGUGAAAGCUCUCAUUUGUCUUAAGGCCAUCAUGUUGAUGCAGCUGGCUUUGACACUGCUUACCUCAGCAUUUUUUUUUUUUUUUUUUUUUUUUUUGGUUGGUUGAAAGACAGAAGGCUUCCUUGUGAUCCCAGCCUUUUCCUAUCAAAUGACACUCAGCCUGGGUUUGGGUGACUUAUUUACUGGCACUAGACCAGUAAAAACAAAAAUGAACGUUCGCAACUAAUAAAUCCUCUUGCUUAGAUAGCUAGAGCCACAGUGGUGGGAUUACACCAGAAUGCUCGGCCGUUACUGGAGGGCUCCCAGGCUGUGCGGAACCUAAUAAGUCAGAAGAGGAAAAGGGACCAAAUCAAGGAGCAGAGAAAUUACGUGCAGUGUGGGUUUUGGACAAUGAAAAGCUUUGAUCUUCACUCUACUAUGUGCUUUCCGGGUUGGAGAUUCUAGAGGCAGAAAUACGGUACACUGAGUUUGCGUCAUCGCGAGGAGCCUGCUAAGCUUGCCACCUUGACCUUCCUUUCUUGAAAAAAAUCAAACCAUACUCAUCUUCAGUAAGAUGAAAAAGACCAGCUAAGAUUAUGGACAGCACAAUCACAGCUUUUCAGAGAACUGAAAGGAGCUAUUUUUAUAGAGGGCAUGAGGUCAAGAAUGUUUAGCAAACAAAUUGAAUGUCAUCUACUCCCAGAAAAUUCUCUAAGGACCUUCCUUCUCCCAGGCCCUUGUGGAAAGUGAGGGCACCUCUGAGAGGCGGGUGAAAUGAUGUUUUUGCUUGUUUCAGAAUUGAUCUUUGCUAUAGAAAAACAUUUUAUGUUAAUAUAAAUCCAGAAGAAUACCACCAUAAAAUAAUGACACCAACCAAAGCUUUCCUUCUUCCACAACUAUUUCUAAUUCUCUGAGCACCCACACUUCCUUUAAGGUUAGGUCUGUUGGGGCAGCUACCAUUGUGUCACAGUGGAAAACUUCCCCAUAGGAUUUAACCUGAUGGAACAAAAUAGAGAUUAAAAAGCAGAGAAAAUUUUGUUAAAUGUAACUCAAAUGCCCUUUGUACAUCCUAAUAGGCAUUUGACUAUUUGGAAAGAUGACUGACAGCCAUUGAUUUCUCUGUUCCUUUUUAAUUUUGUCUUUGUUUUCAUGACUAAGAGACUACCACAAAGGAUAUUUACUGGUGAUAUAUUAGACCACAGCCACCCAGCAGUUCUACUUGUUUGUAUAAUUCCUUUAAUUUAUGUUGUUUCCACUGUCAUCCUGUUUAGCUGUGAUGUCCCCUCAGUACAAAGAAGAUACCUAUAAUGAGUGGACAAUGUGAGCCAUGUUCUCUCAAAGCACCCAAUGAAAGAAGACAUUACAACUCUUUCAGAGCUCUGCGAGAUUAUUAUGUCUGAUGGCUUUGACAGAGCCAUCCUUAAAGGUAAAACCAGAUGAAUCAAAUGGCCAUAGACUAGUUCAGUCAUCUCAUUGUAAAGCUUUUAGAAUGCUUGCUGUCCACCAAUGAAGCAGCUGCUUUAAAUGCUUUCAUAAGUCUUCAGGGUUAAAAUGUAAUGUCUCUGUGAUUGAACAUAGUUAAACACUCCUGCCCUCUCCAUGGUGAGAGAGAGAGAGAGAGAGAGAGAGAGAGAGAGAGAGAGAGAGAGAGAGAGAGAGAGAGAGAGAGAGAAAUAUGUAUACUCUCUACUCAUUGUCUCUAAGGAGAAUCCAAUACUGUUUAUGUGUGCUGUGUGUGUGUGUAUGCAUGUGUUUAUGUGUGGGUGGUACAUGCACAUGAAUAUGCACAUCCAUGUGUAUGCAUGCAGAAUCCGGAGAAGGACAUAAUAUAUCUUCCUUUUCCUGAGACUUGGGCUCUCACUGGACAGAAAGUGUGCCUGCCAUUUUUAUUAGUUUUUACCUGGGUGCUGGAUUUAACUCAGAUCCUCGUGUUUACAAAGCAUGUACUCUUAACUACUGAGCUAUCUCCCCAGUCCCAAGGACCAAUUAUCAUCUGACUAUUUAAAUACUUGGGAAAUGGACUAUCAUGAAUUCAAAUAAUCUUUAAAUCUUGUG